AAAUGGACGGGCAUGAGGCGUUCCAUCACAACAAGUGAACACUCCGAGCAAAGCAGUGCAGAACUUGUCCCCGGGUGAGAAAGAUGAAUCGCGGCCUGUUGUUGUUGGCGGUGGUGUUGGUGGCGGUGUGCGUGACCACCAGUGAAGCAGGCGGAGGCGUCGGUAUAUGUCCACUAGAGACGGACUGCAUUGGACGGUCAUGCUUCUCCGACCUAGAUUGCUUGCCGAACCAAAACUGCUGUCCUACAAAAUGUGGCGGGAAAACUUGCAUAAAUGUUCGUGCGCAUGGGCUCCACUAACCACCACCACAACCACCACUUUGACCUGAGAGGAAACAUGAAUCUGAUGUUAACUGUUGCUGAUUGGUGCUGUUACAGAAUUGUGCAAUAAACCACUGGCAAAAAUAUAACUUGCUUUGUAUAUUUUUCUUGAUUUAUGUUAAUAAUUAAUUCUUUUUAUAGAAAAGGGCCAAUGCCAAGGGCAACAACAAUUUAAAAAGACCCUCAUGUUGCCAAUUUCCACACAAAAUUGGUGGAGAAAAAGAGAACAAGUGCUUUGAAACUUCCCUCUUAAUAGAGUCUGAUUCAUUAAAAGGAGGAUAACAAAAGCAAGCAAGGCGUUCCAGAGUUUACCAGAGAAAGCUAUGAAUGAGUGAGAGUACUGGUUAACUCUUGUACUGGAGAGGAGGACAGAAAGAAAGUCUUGUGCUGUGACACCUUGAGAGGAGAGGACACAUGCAGUUAACAAGAACAGAGGAGAAGUUUGCAUGAAAAUAGCGAGAGAAGAGUCAGAGAUGCAACACCCUGGCACUGAGAAAUGGGCAAAAGAAAAUCACUUAGAAGAGAGAAGUUGAUGACAUUUGAAAACAGAGCCUUGUCACUACGAU